CUAUUAUUCUUUAGUUAAUUUUUUCCUGAAUAUUAUUAGUUUUUCUUUAAAACUCAAAGAAUUUGGCGGUUAAUUAUUUCUUUUUAGGGGAACAUGUAGUGUAAUUGAUAAUCCACGAUAUUUUUUACUUUAUUUUGCUUGUAUAUCUCUAUUGAUUUGGGGUGUUUAAUAAAAAUAUUUCCUUUUUCUUUUUAAGUUAAAUUUUAGGUCAAGGUGCAGUUUUUUAAAGAAUUUAUGUGUUACAGAAAUUUUAUAUUUUUAGGAUUUUUAACUUAAUUUAAGUUUUAUUGAAAAAGGAUUUAAAAGUAAUAGUUUUUAAUUAAUUAGUAUGAAUUUGCUCUAGUUAAUGCACACAUC
rnacentral:rRNA from 1 species